CCAGAGAACUUUCCAGAGAUGGAUUGGUGCCUUCGGGAACUCUGAGACAGGUGCUGCAUGGCUGUCGUCAGCUCGUGUUGUGAAAUGUUGGGUUAAGUCCCGCAACGAGCGCAACCCUUAUCCUUUGUUGCCAGCGGUUAGGCCGGGAACUCAAAGGAGACUGCCAGUGAUAACUGGAGGAAGGUGGGGAUGACGUCAAGUCAUCAUGGCCCUUACGAGUAGGGCUACACACGUGCUACAAUGGCGCAUACAAGAGAAGCGACCUCGCGAGAGCAAGCGGACCUCAUAAAGUGCGUCGUAGUCCGGAUUGGAGUCUGCAACUCGACUCCAUGAAGUCGGAAUCGCUAGUAAUCGUGGAUCAGAAUGCCACGGUGAAUACGUUCCCGGGCCUUGUACACACCGCCCGUCACACCAUGGGAGUGGGUUGCAAAAGAAGUAGGUAGCUUAACCUUCGGGAGGGCGCUUACCACUUUGUGAUUCAUGACUGGGGUGAAGUCGUAACAAGGUAAGCGUAGUGCU
rnacentral:rRNA from 1 species